UACGUAGGGUGCAAGCGUUAAUCGGAAUUACUGGGCGUAAAGCGUGCGCAGGCGGUGAUGUAAGACAGGUGUGAAAUCCCCGGGCUUAACCUGGGAACUGCAUUUGUGACUGCAUUGCUGGAGUGCGGCAGAGGGGGAUGGAAUUCCGCGUGUAGCAGUGAAAUGCGUAGAGAUGUGGAGGAACACCGAUGGCGAAGGCAGCCCCCUGGGUCAAGACUGACGCUCAUGCACGAAAGCGUGGGGAGCAAACAGG
rnacentral:rRNA from 1 species